rnacentral:rRNA from 1 species
CCUACGGGUGGCUGCAGUCGAGGAUCUUCGGCAAUGGGCGCAAGCCUGACCGAGCGACGCCGCGUGGAUGAUGAAGGCCUUCGGGUUGUAAAAUCCUGUCGAGGGGAACAGUGAUCCCUGGAGGAAGCACGGGCUAAGUUCGUGCCAGCAGCCGCGGUAAGACGAACCGUGCAAACGUUAUUCGGAAUCACUGGGCAUAAAGGGCGCGUAGGCGGCUCCAAAAGUCAGGGGUGAAAUCCGGCAGCUUAACUGUCGCAGUGCCUUUGAUACUGUGGAGCUAGAGGGAGGUAGGGGUCUGUGGAACUUCCGGUGGAGCGGUGAAAUGCGUUGAUAUCGGAAGGAACGCCGGUGGCGAAAGCGACGGACUGACUCUUCUGACGCUGAGGCGCGAAAGCCAGGGGAGCAAACGGGAUUAGAUACCCUUGUAGUC